AGUUCCAAUGCAAGAAUUCUUCAAGAAAGCAACUUCCUUUUGUUAGGGAAAGCUAUACAGAUUAUCUUUGAAUUGUUAGUGUUUGUGAAUUCUGUUGUUUAUGACAAAUAUCACCCAGAAUCCUUAAGUUUUUGAUACUUUUGUAAAGGGGAUUUUUGAUAAUCUUUUUUCUAAUAAUCAUGGAUUCAUUGGCGUGUUCGAUACUGGUGUUGCUGUCCAAAAACGGCUCCUCUAGCAGCAAUAGUUCAGGGAAGUUCCAACAGUGGUUGUAAUGGCUGAAAAAUAGAGGACAAGAGGCAAAUAGCUCAAGCUAGCAGGGGGGUUUGUCUGCAUGGCUCGCUGACACUCAAGUCAGCAUGGUACACAAUGGAGAAGCUGGUGAAAAGAGCGAAAAGUGGGAAAAUCAAUGUUGUCAUCUAAAACUCAGUAAAUCCAAAAAUGGAAGUGCAACAGGUUCACUGAAAUUCAAUAAAGAGGAUGAAGAUGGGCAGCCCCCAAGUUUGGAAACCUAAAGAUUGCUUUUUCACAUCUGCCUUGCACAGUGACUUGUUAGAUGGGCGUAGAUGAUAAUUUGACUCUUGUUCUAUAUUUCUAAUUUAAUAAAUUCCAUGAUGAGUGGUGACAAAGAAAAUCUGUGUCUCGAGUGAAACCACAAACUGGCUAGUCAACCAGGCAGCUGUAGUGUUUGUUUGUACAAUGAAUACUUUAAAAAUUAUGCAAAAGAUUUGAGAAUUGAUUUCCUAUGAUCUCAUCACCAAAUUUUUGGUGACCUAACAUGGAGGAUCAGAUGCCACAUCUUUAUUUGAUGGAAUCAUAAUUGUCUGGUUUCAAAAGCCCACUUAAAUUCUGCACAAAUUUAUUCUUGACAAAGGC